rnacentral:sRNA from 1 species
UUUUGCUUGGUGCCACGUGCCAUCCGGCCCUCUCCAGCGGCCGGGUAGCCACCGGCCUGACCUGACUGUCCCCCAGCCCUCCUGGCUGCUCAGGUCCUGCCGCCGCCCCCGGCCGAACCCCGCCCCACUGAAACUCACGAGCCCUGCCCCGCCCCCAGGGCAUGGCCUAUCUGCACGCUCAGCACUACAUCCACCGAGACCUAGCCGCGCGCAACGUGCUGCUGGACAACGACAGGCUGGUCAAGAUCGGGGACUUUGGCCUAGCCAAGGCCGUGCCCGAAGGCCACGAGUACUACCGCGUGCGCGAGGAUGGGGACAGCCCCGUGUUCUGGUCUAUCAUCUCAUGAAGAACUGCUGGGAGACAGAGGCGUCCUUUCGCCCAAACUUCGAGAACCUCAUACCCAUUCUGAAGACAGUCCAUGAGAAGUACCAAGGCCAGGCCCCUUCAGUGUUUAGCGUGUGCUGAGGCACAAUGGCAGCCCUGCCUGGGAGGACUGGACCAGGCAGUGGCUGCAGAGGGAGCCUCCUGCUUCCUGCCCCAGGAUGAAACCAAGAGGGGGAUGUCAGCCUCACCCACACCGUGUGCCUUACUCCUGUCUGGAGACCCCACCUCUGUGAACUUAUUUUUCUUUCAUGGCCGUGAGCCUAACCAUGAUCUUGAGGGACCCAACAUUUGUAGGGGCACUAAUCCAGCCCUUAAAUCCCCCAGCUUCCAAACUUGAGGCCCACCAUCUCCACCAUCUGGUAAUAAACUCAUGUUUUCUCUG